GUCUACGGCCAUGCCACCUUGAAUAAGCCCGAUCCUGACUGAUCUCAGAAGCUAAGCAGGGUCGGGCCCUGGUUAGUAUUUGGAUGGGAGACCACCUAGGAAGACCAGGUGCUGUAGGCA
rnacentral:rRNA from 1 species